rnacentral:rRNA from 1 species
GAGUUUGAUCAUGGCUCAGGACGAACGCUGGCGGCGUGCUUAACACAUGCAAGUCGAACGAAGAGCGAUGGAAGCCUGCUUCUAUCAAUCUUAGUGGCGAACGGGUGAGUAACGCGUAAUCAACCUGCCCUUCAGAGGGGGACAACAGUUGGAAACGACUGCUAAUGCCGCAUACGAUCUAACCUCGGCAUCGAGGAAAGAUGAAAGGUGGCCUCUAUGUAUAAGCUAUCACUGAAGGAGGGGAUUGCGUCUGAUUAGCUAGUUGGAGGGGUAACGGCCCACCAAGGCGAUGAUCAGUAGCCGGUCUGAGAGGAUGAACGGCCACAUUGGGACUGAGACACGGCCCAGACUCCUACGGGAGGCAGCAGUGGGGAAUCUUCCGCAAUGGACGAAAGUCUGACGGAGCAACGCCGCGUGAGUGAUGACGGCCUUCGGGUUGUAAAGCUCUGUUAAUCGGGACGAAAGGCCUUCUUGCGAAUAGUUAGAAGGAUUGACGGUACCGGAAUAGAAAGCCACGGCUAACUACGUGCCAGCAGCCGCGGUAAUACGUAGGUGGCAAGCGUUGUCCGGAAUUAUUGGGCGUAAAGCGCGCGCAGGCGGAUCAGUCAGUCUGUCUUAAAAGUUCGGGGCUUAACCCCGUGAGGGGAUGGAAACUGCUGAUCUAGAGUAUCGGAGAGGAAAGUGGAAUUCCUAGUGUAGCGGUGAAAUGCGUAGAUAUUAGGAAGAACACCAGUGGCGAAGGCGACUUUCUGGACGAAAACUGACGCUGAGGCGCGAAAGCCAGGGGAGCGAACGGGAUUAGAUACCCCGGUAGUCCUGGCCGUAAACGAUGGGUACUAGGUGUAGGAGGUAUCGACCCCUUCUGUGCCGGAGUUAACGCAAUAAGUACCCCGCCUGGGGAGUACGACCGCAAGGUUGAAACUCAAAGGAAUUGACGGGGGCCCGCACAAGCGGUGGAGUAUGUGGUUUAAUUCGACGCAACGCGAAGAACCUUACCAGGUCUUGACAUUGAUGGACAGAACUAGAGAUAGUUCCUCUUCUUCGGAAGCCAGAAAACAGGUGGUGCACGGUUGUCGUCAGCUCGUGUCGUGAGAUGUUGGGUUAAGUCCCGCGACGAGCGCAACCCCUAUCUUAUGUUGCCAGCACUUCGGGUGGGAACUCAUGAGAGACUGCCGCAGACAAUGCGGAGGAAGGCGGGGAUGACGUCAAAUCAUCAUGCCCCUUAUGACCUGGGCUACACACGUACUACAAUGGGAGUUAAUAGACGGAAGCGAGAUCGCGAGAUGGAGCAAACCCGAGAAACACUCUCUCAGUUCGGAUCGUAGGCUGCAACUCGCCUACGUGAAGUCGGAAUCGCUAGUAAUCGCAGGUCAGCAUACUGCGGUGAAUACGUUCCCGGGCCUUGUACACACCGCCCGUC